rnacentral:rRNA from 1 species
ACACAUGCAAGUCGAACGGCAGCGCGGGGGCAACCCGUGGCGGCGAGUGGCGAACGGGUGAGUAAUAUAUCGGAACGUACCCAGGAGUGGGGGAUAACGUAGCGAAAGUUACGCUAAUACCGCAUACGACCUACGGGUGAAAGUGGGGGAGUCGCAAGACCUCAUGCUCAUGGAGCGGCCGAUAUCUGAUUAGCUAGUUGGUGGGGUAAAGGCUCACCAAGGCAACGAUCAGUAGCUGGUCUGAGAGGACGACCAGCCACACUGGAACUGAGACACGGUCCAGACUCCUACGGGAGGCAGCAGUGAGGAAUAUUGGUCAAUGGGCGUAAGCCUGAACCAGCCAAGUAGCGUGCAAGGAAGACUGCCCUAUGGGUUGUAAACUGCUUUUAUGCGGGGAUAAAGUGAGGGACGUGUCCCUUUUUGCAGGUACCGCAUGAAUAAGGACCGGCUAAUUCCGUGCCAGCAGCAGC